GACAGAGGAUGCAAGCGUUAUCCGGAAUGAUUGGGCGUAAAGCGUCUGUAGGUGGCUUUUCAAGUCCGCCGUCAAAUCCCAGGGCUCAACCCUGGACAGGCGGUGGAAACUGCCAAGCUGGAGUACGGUAGGGGUAGAGGGAAUUUCCGGUGGAGCGGUGAAAUGCGUAGAGAUGUGGAGGAACACCGAUGGCGAAGGCAGCCCCCUGGGCUAACACUGACGCUCAUGCACGAAAGCGUGGGGAGCAAACAGG
rnacentral:rRNA from 1 species